UACAGAGGGUGCAAACGUUGUUCGGAAUUACUGGGCGUAAAGCGUGCGCAGGCGGUUCGUUGUGUCGGCGGGGAAAGCCCCGGGCUCAACCUGGGAAUGGCCGUUGAAACUGGCGAACUGGAGUGUGGCAGAGGGGGGUGGAAUUCCGCGUGUAGCAGUGAAAUGCGUAGAGAUGCGGAGGAACACCGAUGGCGAAGGCAGCCCCCUGGGCUAACACUGACGCUCAGGCACGAAAGCGUGGGGAGCAAACAGG
rnacentral:rRNA from 1 species